AAAGUCCGAUUAUCUUGAGAUCGGAUUGGGGGAGAGGCCUUACAACGCCUUAAUGCGCCCCCACAGCCAUGUCAGGAACAGGAGGAGAACCUCGUCCUGAUAUGAGCAAAGUCAAAGGUCCGGUUCUUUUAGACCGGAUGGGGGGGAGAGGCCUUACAACGUCCUAAUGCGCCCCCACAGCCAUGUCAGGAACAGGAGGAGAACCUCGUCCUGACAUGAGCAAAGUCAAAGGCCCGGUUCUUUUAGACCGGAUGGGGGGAGAGG
rnacentral:lncRNA from 1 species